rnacentral:rRNA from 1 species
UACGGGGGGGGCAAGCGUUGUUCGGAAUUAUUGGGCGUAAAGAGCUCGUAGGCGGUUUGGCGCGUCUGCCGUGAAAGUCCGGGGCUCAACUCCGGAUCUGCGGUGGGUACGGGCAGACUAGAGUGAUGUAGGGGAGACUGGAAUUCCUGGUGUAGCGGUGAAAUGCGCAGAUAUCAGGAGGAACACCGAUGGCGAAGGCAGGUCUCUGGGCAUUAACUGACGCUGAGGAGCGAAAGCAUGGGGAGCGAACAGG